rnacentral:rRNA from 1 species
AGGCAGCAGUGGGGAAUUUUGGACAAUGGGCGCAAGCCUGAUCCAGCCAUGCCGCGUGCGGGAAGAAGGCCUUCGGGUUGUAAACCACUUUUGUCAGGGAAGAAAUCCUUUGAGAUAAUACCUCGGAGGGAUGACGGUACCUGAAGAAUAAGCACCGGCCAACUACGUGCCAGCAGCCGCGGUAAUACGUAGGGUGCGAGCGUUAAUCGGAAUUACUGGGCGUAAAGCGUGCGCAGGCGGUCUUGCAAGACAGGUGUGAAAUCCCCGGGCUUAACCUGGGAACUGCACUUGUGACUGCAAGGCUGGAGUACGGCAGAGGGGGAUGGAAUUCCGCGUGUAGCAGUGAAAUGCGUAGAUAUGCGGAGGAACACCGAUGGCGAAGGCAAUCCCCUGGGCCUGUACUGACGCUCAUGCACGAAAGCGUGGGGAGCAAACAGGAUUAGAUACCCUGGUAG